CCUACGGGAGGCAGCAGUGAGGAAUAUUGGUCAAUGGACGAGAGUCUGAACCAGCCAAGUAGCGUGAAGGAUGACUGCCCUAUGGGUUGUAAACUUCUUUUAUAUGGGAAUAAAACGUUCCACGUGUGGGAUUUUGUAUGUACCAUAUGAAUAAGGAUCGGCUAACUCCGUGCCAGCAGCCGCGGUAAUACGGAGGAUCCGAGCGUUAUCCGGAUUUAUUGGGUUUAAAGGGAGCGUAGGUGGAUUGUUAAGUCAGUUGUGAAAGUUUGCGGCUCAACCGUAAAAUUGCAGUUGAAACUGGCAGUCUUGAGUACAGAAGAGGUGGGCGGAAUUCGUGGUGUAGCGGUGAAAUGCUUAGAUAUCACGAAGAACUCCGAUUGCGAAGGCAGUUCACUGGACUGCAACUGACACUGAGGCUCGAAAGUGUGGGUAUCAAACAGGAUUAGAUACCCCUGUAGUC
rnacentral:rRNA from 1 species